rnacentral:rRNA from 1 species
GAUGAACGCUGGCGGCGUGCUUAACACAUGCAAGUCGAACGGUGAAAGAGAGCUUGCUCUCUGGAUCAGUGGCGAACGGGUGAGUAACACGUGAGCAAUCUGCCCCUGACUCUGGGAUAAGCGCUGGAAACGGCGUCUAAUACCGGAUACGAGCUGCGAAGGCAUCUUCAGCAGCUGGAAAGAACUUCGGUCAGGGAUGAGCUCGCGGCCUAUCAGCUAGUUGGUGAGGUAACGGCUCGCCAAGGCGUCGACGGGUAGCCGGCCUGAGAGGGUGACCGGCCACACUGGGACUGAGACACGGCCCAGACUCCUACGGGAGGCAGCAGUGGGGAAUAUUGCACAAUGGGCGAAAGCCUGAUGCAGCAACGCCGCGUGAGGGACGACGGCCUUCGGGUUGUAAACCUCUUUUAGCAGGGAAGAAGCGAAAGUGACGGUACCUGCAGAAAAAGCACCGGCUAACUACGUG